UGUUGGGGAAUCCCUUUCUGCAGAUCCUGAUGCCCUCCAGCACACCGUUACAGCGCAGCUGGUGCAUGACCAGAGGAUUCUCCAUCGCUCCAGGAGUCUUGGUCUCAUUGGGAAUGAGGCAGCGCACAAAGUGAGGCUGCCAGGUCCAUGUCUUGCUAUGACGAGGUGGAAGAUUCCGAUCCACACUCUUCCCUGAGAUGGAGGCGAUUCAUUCUCAGCUCCUUUGUCGUCUCAGCUCACCAAAAGGUCAAUGACUUGACCCAUUGUACUUCAUGACCAUUGAGCAGGCUAUUAAUGGAGACUGAGGGUGUCUGUUUGUUUGAUUUACUUGGACAAGUGUUCACUGGACGUCCCAUGAUGCUUUUGCUCCUUUGAGUUGCUUGUCAUUUCUUCGUUAUCCCUUGUUCGAGCCAGCUGUACGAUGAAGACAGAGAAUACAGCCACACACAAACACUCUGCUCCCUGCAGGAGAAGGAGAACACAUCACUGAAGCACAGAUGAAGAAUCAGGUGCUUUCUGGAGCUUAGGGAAGUUGCAUUCAAGAGCCACCAGAGCCAUUGGACUGCCUAAUAGUGUUAAAACAUGGAGACAGAACUACAGAAGAGAUUGUCACAGCAAUCAGUGUUUAGAGAGAUCCAUCUAAUAUUUUCACUCCUCAUCGGCCCCUUUCUGUUAGAAAGAAAAAUGACAAAAUAAAAAUGUUAAAGGGCUGUCUUGUUGGAAGAGUUGAGAGAACUGGGAAAUGACAUGGUGAGCACGCACUCAGACGUGAGUGUGGGACACCAGGUCCUUUGACGCAGGCUGGUGUAUUACCAAAAGCCAUCAGAGCUGGACGUUUGGUGAUAACUCCACUCCAUUAAGGGGUUGAAGGGACACUGGAAGACAUCAGAGGAUCCUGUUGGGGAAUCCCUUUCUGCAGAUCCUAAUGCCCUCCAGCACACCGUUACAGCGCAGCUGGUGCAUGACCAGAGGAUUCUCCAUCGCCCCAGGAGUCUUAGUCUCAUUGGGGAUGAUGCAGCG